rnacentral:rRNA from 1 species
UGGGGAAUAUUGCACAAUGGGCGAAAGCCUGAUGCAGCAACGCCGCGUGAGGGACGACGGCCUUCGGGUUGUAAACCUCUUUUAGCAAGGAAGAAGCGAAAGUGACGGUACUUGCAGAAAAAGCGCCGGCUAACUACGUGCCAGCAGCCGCGGUAAUACGUAGGGCGCAAGCGUUAUCCGGAAUUAUUGGGCGUAAAGAGCUCGUAGGCGGUUUGUCGCGUCUGCUGUGAAAACCCGAGGCUCAACCUCGGGCCUGCAGUGGGUACGGGCAGACUAGAGUGCGGUAGGGGAGAUUGGAACUCCUGGUGUAGCGGUGGAAUGCGCAGAUAUCAGGAAGAACACCGAUGGCGAAGGCAGAUCUCUGGGCCGUAACUGACGCUGAGGAGCGAAAGGGUGGGGAGCAAAACAGGCUUAGAUACCCUGGUAGUCCACCCCGUAAACGUUGGGAACUAGUUGUGGGGUCCAUUCCACGGAUUCCGUGACGCAGCUAACGCAUUAAGUUCCCCGCCUGGGGAGUACGGCCGCAAGGC